rnacentral:rRNA from 1 species
AGAGUUUGAUCCUGGCUCAGGAUGAACGCUAGCGGCAGGCCUAAUACAUGCAAGUCGAACGGUGAUAUUUAUAUCAUAGUGGCGCACGGGUGCGUAACACGUAUGCAACCUACCUAUUAUUGGGGGAUAGCCUUUGGAAACGGAGAUUAAUACCGCAUAAUACGAUUAACUGGCAUCGGUUGAUUGUUAAAGCAUUUGCGAUAAUAGAUGGGCAUGCGUCCAAUUAGUUAGUUGGUGUGGUAAUGGCUCACCAAGACGAUGAUUGGUAGGGGAUCUGAGAGGAUAAUCCCCCACACUGGCACUGAGAUACGGGCCACACUCCUACGGGAGGCAGCAGUAGGGAAUAUUGGGCAAUGGGCGAAAGCCUGACCCACCCAUGCCGCGUGCAGGAAGACGGCGUUAUGCGUUGUAAACUGCUUUUUUAUAGGAAGAAGGAUCCCUUGCGAGGGAAGGUGACGGUACUAUAAGAAUAAGCACCGGCUAACUCCGUGCCAGCAGCCGCGGUAAUACGGAGGGUGCAAGCGUUGUCCGGAUUUAUUGGGUUUAAAGGGUGCGUAGGCGGUUUAUUAAGUCAGUGGUGAAAGACGGUCGCUCAACGAUUGCAGUGCCAUUGAUACUGGUAGACUUGAGUGAGAU